GAGAGAGAGAGAGGCGACUGGGUAAGCUGUGCUCGAAGCCCUAGCAAACCUCGGCCUCCUUCUCCUCUUUUUCCUCGUCGGCCUCCUUCUCUUCUUCUCCCUCGUCGGCCUCCUUCUCUUCUUCUUCCUCGCCGGCCACCUGCUCUUCUUCUCUUCUUCUUUCUCUAAACUCUCUGAUUUUCGAUUUAUCUCUUCAUAUUCAUGCUAAGAAUUGCUAGAUCUGUGUUGUGGUUGUCGAAAUCUGAUAGAUUAAGGUUCUCUGAUUUUAUUUUUGUCUUUAAACUUGCUGAAAAAGUUGUCGAUUUGAUGUGAUCUGUUUCUGAAAAAGCUGUCGGGUUAAUCUGUUCCUUAUUGCUCCAAUAUACUUGUCUUUGGUUGAAUUCAAAAUUGAUCUGAGAAGUUUGGGUUUGAUUUUUGUUUUGAUCUGUUACGCUUCUUUUCUAUUUUCUGUUUCUGAUUAUCAAUCUGAUUUAUUAAGAUUUGAAUUGUAGUUUUGAAUCUGUUUCUGUUGGCAAGUUGAUUGUUUUUGCUUUCUUUUGAAUUUCCUACUGCUGUGUGUUGCUUUACGAUCUCUACUUCGCAAUCACAUUCACAGGAAAACUUGCUUUUUGAUGUUCAAGAAAAUCUGAAAGUAUGGUUUUGGAUUCAGCGCCUUGUCCCAACAAGUAGUGGCCAGAACAGAAGCUUGUGAAGGAUGGUUUCAUCAUCAGGACACCAACCAAGAUCCACUGUCCUGAAAAAAUACCGAGAGUCAAAGAAGAUUGACAAGUACAUGUAUCAAGAGUCGAAGAAGAUUGACAAGAAGAUUGACAGAGAAACAUCAGAGGAGUCCAUUGGAUGCUUAGUUUAGCUUUAGGCUAAUUAUGUUUUGGCUUAAUUUUUAAAUUUGUUCGUUAGUUAUUUGUAUACUGAUUUCAAGUAAUAAAUAAAAUUUUGAUUUUUAAUUAUAAA